UGCUGGACUUAAAUGACCAUUAAUGACCCCUCCAAAUGUAAAUUCCUAUGAUUGAAUGAAUUUUAGCUAAUUGUUCCUAACUUAUUAGUCAUAACCAAACAGUUCACAGAAGGACUCCAGAGUAAAUACAAUUACAAAUGAAAAACAAAUGUUCUGAUGGGAUCCAAAUAUUUGUUGAUAACAAGUGAGAUUUCUUGAGAAGCCUGCAGAAUGUUGUUCUCAAUAGGAGACAUAAUUUUUAAAUAGUAGAAAUUAGAGAAGUAAUACAUUUCAGAAUGUGUUUAAACAUAUUUUCUUUAAUUCAAUCCAUUUAUUAUAUUCAAAACUCGUAUUCACAAGCAAAAAUAACUAAGAACUGAUUAAGACAACUAAAACAAGCUUUUGAUAGGUCUUUUUCGAGGAAGCCCAAAGGUCUCAAGUUUGAUCGCUGUUUGGAAAAUAUGAGCGCAACACUUUAAGACAAAAAUUUCCAUAUGUUGGUCUUAUUAGAAUUCAAAACUCAUUCAUCUGUUCCUUCAUUCAAGAAAUACAUAGUGGGGAGAUAAAAGAAAGACAUAGUGAAAAUCCACUAAGUGUAAUAUACUGUAGACUUUGCAAUAUGAAUAAUUCUAAAAGGAAAAUGAGAUCAUCUAUCAUACAUUUAAACAGUCUUUUAAAAAAUUCAUUUUAUUACAAAGUAAUAAUCAUCCAUUAAAUAAAAAACUUAAAAAAUGGCAAUAGUAAAAAGAAUACCUAUAAUUAUACCAUUUAAUAAAUAUCUACUUUAUUUGGGUAUUCUAUUAUUAUAGCUGAAAAUAUUUUAAUGGAUAUUACUUGGUAGAAAAGCUAGAGCAAAAGACCUUUAGAUCAGUGGUAAUGGAGUGUGCUUUUGAAGUUCGGAUUUCCUGUUAUUUGGCCUGCAAAAUUUUGCUGAGUCAUUUGACCUCAUGGAUCUUCUGAAAUAGUAGUCACAUGACCAGAGUAAACCGUGUAGACCCACAGCUUGCCUGCAGAUACGUAUGUUUUUUCAAACUUGAUUCAACCAGUAUUCACAGAUCACACACUGCCUGCCAUACAUUACAUUAGGGACCUGGAGCUUACUGGGCGGUAUAGGGCCCAGCUUUGUCCACAGAGAGCUUGCUUUCUAGUGAAGAGGACAGGCCCAUAUCUAAGGACUGCAUGUCUGACCUUAAAAAUUUUGGUUAACUCUUUUUUUUUUUUUUUUUUUUUUUGAGACAGAGUAUCACUCUGUCACCCAGGCUGGAGUGCAAUGGCGCGAUCUCGGCUCACUGCAACCUCCACCUCCCAGGUACAAGUGAUUCUCCUGCUUCAGCCUCCUGAGUAGCUGGGAUUACAGGUGCAUGCUACCACGCCUGGCUAAUUUUUGUGUUUUUAGUAGAGACAGGGUUUCACCAUGUUGGUCAGGCUGGUCUCAAACUCCUGACCUUGUGAUCCACCUGCCUCAGACUUCCAAAGUGCUGGGAUUACAGGCAUGAGCCACCACGCCCAGCCAAAAUUCCAAUUAACUCUUAAAAGAAGUAUACACUGUGUGACCAAGGAAGCACAGAGUGAUUCAUUCUGAGAGGGGAGAAUCACAAAGCAAGGAACAUAGAGCCACGCUUUGGAAGAGAAGUAGAAUAAUGAAAGUCAUGUACACUAGAUUUUGAUGGCAUUUUUCCAGGGACCCUGGGAGCAUCUGUGUUCUCGUGUUCUUCUUGCCUGUGAGGCCUCUUCUCUCUGAGGACAGAUGGUAGGACAGAGAGAAGACAGCAAAUGGAAAACAAAGGCUGCUAUUUUUUUGUGGGCCUGUUCUUGAGUCUCCGCAGGCAGCAUUUCUUCCUGUGACAAUAUGGUGUAAGACAAAAUUGUGGCCUGCCAUGAAGUUGUGAGAGAAAAGCAUCCCUCAUUUCUUCAGGAAAGGCCACUGCCGUUCCCUCCGGCUCCUCUUCUCAGGAGUUUGUGCAUUCAUGAGGUGAAUUCCUUGGAAGAUGAGGGCCAAGUCUUAUUCUUCUCAGUCUCUUCUGCAUCUAGCAGAAGAAUAAUGGUUGCACAGAAAAUCUUGGUUCAGUGGUUGAGUGAAUGAAUGGAUGAACAGGCUCUUGCACACAAAGAAGAGACAUGAUGUAUUUGCAUCCUUCCCUGCUUCAGCCAGCACUGUGUCUGGCACAAUUAAUAUUCUUUUGUAGAAACUUGUGUGAAUGGUUUACAUAAACUUGUGUGAGAAGAGAUGUAUCUUGUCUCACUAACUCUUAUCUUGUUAAGUUUUCCCCCAGAAACUGUGAGUGUCCACCCUCUUGAAGGCGCAGUGGCGGAAUGAAGUUCACAGAAUGGAAGAUGUGAGCUGGUCUGAGUGAUGCAAGGGGUGGUCUUGGGUGGGCUCAGUUCCUGCUCCCUCAGAGGCCUUUGGAUCUAUUUUUGCUGUUUCUGUGAACUCCGCCAGUGCUUUUUGGUGCUUUUGCUUCAAACAGCCCCAUACCCGUGAUGUCUUUACUAAGUCACUUGCACAGGACCCUUCCUCUCAGGAUCCACUUCUGGGCAAUCCUCACAAAUAACAGACAAAUGAUAAUAGGUAGCAUUCACUGAGUUUGACCAUGUUUCAGGCACUGUGAUAAGAGCUUUUUACAUGCCCUGGUCCACUUAGUCCUCCAGAAUUCCAUCAGGCAAAGCAGGUGCAAUUAUAGCCUCUUGGCAUAGUUUAAACUUGGGACUGCAGACCCUGGUGCCUGACUGCCUGGGGUCAAAUUUCAGUUCUCCUAGUUACUAGCUGUGUGGCCUUGGGCAAGUCACCUAUUUUCCUCACCUGUAAAAUGGAGAUAAUAAUAGAAUCUACUUCACUGGUUUGCUCUGAUGAGCUAAAGUGAGCAAGGCAUUGAAAUGCUCUGUAGGUAUUUCCUAAAUGAACAAAUACUUCACACAGUAGGCCAUGGAGAUUUACAAAGAUGAAGGCCAGGCAUGGUGUAAUCUCAGCACUUUGGAAAGCCAAUGUGAGAGGAUCGCUUGAGCCCAGGAGUUCAAGAUUUUCUGAAGCUCAGAGGGACACCUUGUAUUGCUGGAUGAUAAAAACAGGAGCAAAGUGAUGAAGUGCUGACAAGGCAACAAUAGAACAUGAGAGAUUCACUGCUGUGUAGGAAGAGAUCUUCGGUGACCAUGUAGCCUGAAGCUCUCAUUUUGUCAUCGAGGGACACCAAAACUCAGAACAG
rnacentral:lncRNA from 1 species